CUGAAGGGUCUGUACCAUACAUUUAUGAUAAAAGAUGUAAAAAACUGAAUUAUCUCCCCUAAAUAAAAGAUAAACUUUAGUCUUUAGUGGGACAACAGCAAAAUGGAUAAAAGAGAGUGUGGAUGAGGUCAAUAUAAUAGAGAAUAAUGGGCGAAAAAUAUAAAGAAUAUACGAAAAUAGACCACAAAAGUAAAGAAUAAUCAAUAUAAACGAGGUGCUAUAAAUUUACAAAAAAUAGAAAAAAUAUGGCUUAAAGAUUUUAGAAUACAGAAAUGAAGG
rnacentral:lncRNA from 1 species